rnacentral:rRNA from 1 species
UACGAAGGGGGCUAGCGUUGUUCGGAAUCACUGGGCGUAAAGCGCACGUAGGCGGAUUGGUAAGUCAGGGGUGAAAUCCCGGGGCUCAACCUCGGAACUGCCUUUGAUACUGCCAGUCUUGAGACCGGGAGAGGUGAGUGGAAUUCCUAGUGUAGAGGUGAAAUUCGUAGAUAUUAGGAGGAACACCAGUGGCGAAGGCGGCUCACUGGACCGGUACUGACGCUGAGGUGCGAAAGCGUGGGGAGCAAACAGG